AAGCUCAAAUUUGAAAUCUGGCCCCCCCCGCGGGGGUCCGAGUUGUAAUUUGCAGAGGAUGCUUUGGGCGCGGCGCCUUCCGAGUGCCUUGGAACAGGUCGCCUCAGAGGGUGAGAGCCCCGUACGGUUGGACGCCUAGCCCGUGUAAAGCUCCUUCAACGAGUCGAGUAGUUUGGGAAUGCUGCUCAAAAUGGGAGGUAAAUUCCUUCUAAAGCUAAAUACUGGCCAGAGACCGAUAGCGCACAAGUAGAGUGAUCGAAAGGUGAAAAGCACUUUGAAAAGAGAGUCAAAUAGCACGUGAAAUUGUUAAAAGGGAAGCGUCUGCGACCAGACGCGCCGCCCGCGGCUCACCCGGCGCCUCGGCGCCGGGGCACGCCGCGGGCGUCGGGCCAGCAUCGGCUCUGCCGUGGGUACAAGGACCGCGGGAACGUAGCUCCCUCGUGGAGUGUUAUAGCCCGCGGCACCAUGCCCGCGGCGGGGCCGAGG
rnacentral:rRNA from 1 species